rnacentral:rRNA from 2 species
GAUUUCUGACAUUAAUGCGCUUGGCCCGCCACGGUUACGUGUGUGAGUGCCGAGUCGUGUUUGUCAUCCUUCUAGAAAAUGUUAGUUUGCUCUUCAUUGAGUUUAAUUAUCACGAUCUAGAUCUUUUACUUUGAAAAAAUUAGAGUGUUUAAAGCAGGCGUUUGCUAUGAAUACAUUAGCAUGGAAUAAUAAUUUAGGACUUUGGUUCUAUUUUGUUGGUUUCUAGAACUGAAGUAAUGAUUGAUAGGGAUAGUUGGGGGUGCUCGUAUUCAGUGGCCAGAGGUGAAAUUCUCGGAUUCACUGAAGACGAACUUAUGCGAAAGCAUU